AAUAGAUACCCCGGUAGUCCACGCUGUAAACGGUGGGUACUAGGUGUGGGGUCCAUUCCACGGGUUCCGUGCCGUAGCUAAUGCUUUAAGUACCCCGCCUGGGGAGUACGGCCGCAAGGCUAAAACUCAAAGGAAUUGACGGGGCCCCGCACAAGCGGCGGAGCAUGCGGAUUAAUUCGAUGCAACGCGUAGAACCUUACCUGGGUUUGACAUGGAUCGGGAGCGCUCAGAGAUGGGUGUGCCUCUUUUGGGGUCGGUUCACAGGUGGUGCAUGGCUGUCGUCAGCUCGUGUCGUGAGAUGUUGGGUUAAGUCCCGCAACGAGCGCAACCCUUGUUCACUGUUGCCAGCACGUUAUGGUGGGGACUCAGUGGAGACCGCCGGGGUCAACUCGGAGGAAGGUGGGGAUGACGUCAAGUCAUCAUGCCCCUUAUGUCCAGGGGCUUCACGCAUGCUACAAUGGCUGGUACAGAGAGUGGCGAGCCUGUGAGGGUGAGCGAAUCUCGGAAAGCCGGUCUCAGUUCGGAUUGGGGUCUGCUAACG
rnacentral:rRNA from 1 species